GUAGGGAAUAUUGCGCAAUGGACGAAAGUCUGACGCAGCGACGCCGCGUGAGUGAUGAAGGCCUUAGGGUCGUAAAGCUCUGUUGAAUGGGAAGAAAAAAAUGACGGUACCAUUCGAGGAAGGACCGGCUAACUUCGUGCCAGCAGCCGCGGUAAUACGAGGGGUCCUAGCGUUGUUCGGAAUCAUUGGGCGUAAAGGGUGUGUAGGUGGCCCUGUAAGUCAGGUGUGAAAGCCCCGGGCUCAACCCGGGAAGUGCACUUGAUACUGCGUGGCUUGAGUACCGAAGAGGGUAGUGGAAGUCCAGGUGUAGUGGUGAAAUACGUAGAUAUCUGGAGGAACACCGGUGGCGAAGGCGGCUACCUGGUCGAGUACUGACACUGAGACACGAAAGCAUGGGGAUCAAACAGGAUUAGAAACCCUAGUAGUCC
rnacentral:rRNA from 1 species